rnacentral:rRNA from 1 species
AUAUCAAUAAGCGGAGGAAAAGAAACCAACAGGGAUUGCCUCAGUAACGGCGAGUGAAGCGGCAAAAGCUCAAAUUUGAAAUCCCCCGGGAAUUGUAAUUUGAAGGACGGGAGAACCCCUCCAAAGUAUCUUUAAGUCCAUUGGAAAAUGGCGCCACAGAAGGUGAUAGCCCUGUAAAAAGCUACUUUGUUGAUAUUUCUCCCGCCCAAAGAGUCGAGUUGUUUGGGAAUGCAGCUCUAAGUGGGUGGUAAAUUCCAUCUAAAGCUAAAUAUUGGCGAGAGACCGAUAGCGAACAAGUACAGUGAUGGAAAGAUGAAAAGCACUUUGAAAAGAGAGUGAAAAAGUACGUGAAAUUGUUGAAAGGGAAGGGCUUGCAAGCAGACACAACCUCGUGUUGGGCCAGCAUCGGGGCGAGGGGAGCCAAAAAAGUGUUGGAAUGUGGCUCUUUUAGAGUGUUAUAGCCUUCACCAAUAUCUCCAUCUCAUCCCGAGGCCUGCGAUUCUGCAAGGAUGCUGGCGUAAUGG